rnacentral:tRNA from 1 species
AAAAUAGUAGUAUAGUAGUAUUUUUUCCU